GGAGGAGUGCCAGAGCGGUUUAAUGGAACGGUCUUGAAAACCGUCGAGGGGGUAACCUCUCCGUGGGUUCGAAUCCCACCUCCUCCG
rnacentral:tRNA from 1 species